AUUUUUGUUUGUGAUCUGGUUAUUUAUGAUAUCUUCGAUUGUGAUAUUUGUGGUUUGUGAUAUUUUGGCCGUAAUCGAUAGAUCGGUCACCUUCCCUUCCGAUACAAGUGCGAUGGAGUGAUGACAAGUGUGGAGUAGCUGACCGGAGGCGAAACCGAGGCCUGCCAAUCACACUCAUUACCAUCUUUUCAGUUAUGACCUUUGGUUUACAAGUUUUGAUUUUUCCUUCAUAGGAAAAUCAAAAGACACUUUUUUCACAUGGGCUGAACGUAGCAAAAGUGACAAAAUAGAAGAUUUUGUCAUCAAACGAUAAAACUUUAAUUUCAUGAAUGUGAGUCAAGUGAUACUUUUAUGGCCGGAUGCUAUCGGAAGUGAGCGUAACUUCGCGAAUCCCUUCGCCGAUGUCAGACAGUUUGAAAGGAACGACGGUGCCAGGUCUCGUCGUGGAAGCACCAAAUAAUCUCGAUUGUGGUCUCUAUCAACAAAUAAAGGCAGAUAUGUUGGGAUCAAACGACUCUUAUCUGUUUCAUUCAGAACGAUUUUCAGUAGAAACACUUACAAUGGUCACGUGUUCCAUACAUCAUUGAUAAUCAUGAAUAAUCAAUUAUCAGAGUCUUACCAGUUUAAUUAUAAAUGAAAAUCGCCCAGCAGAAGCCAUCAUCUGGUCAAGAUUUGUUAUCACUCCGGUUAGCGUAGAUGCGAUCGAUUCAAUUUCUCUGCAAUAUCGGUAACUUCCUCGAUAAACUGACCACCUGUUAUUGAAAUAACUCGAGUAAGACUUUCACUGUCGUAGAGUAUCGGCGGCCAACGUGCGCCAGCUCCAAAGGUUCAUUGAAA